CGGCGUCGGGCAAACGGUCGCUGUGGUGCCUUCGGGCCCAUGGAGGAAAGUCCGGGCUGCACAGGGCAGGGUGCCAGGUAAUGCCUGGGAGGCGAGAGCCUACGGAAAGUGCAACAGAGAGCAGACAGCCCAAGAGGCGGCGCAAGCCGUCUCCGGUGAUGGUGAAACGGUGCGGUAAGAGCGCACCGCGCGCAUGGCAACAUGUCGCGGCUAGGCAAACCCCACCCGCAGCAAGGCCAAAUAGGGNNNNNCCGCGUCGCUCCCGGGUAGGCUGCUUGAGCCACGUGGUGACACGUGGCCCAGAUGAAUGACCGUUCUAGACAGAACCCGGCUUAUGACCGACCCGAUCC
rnacentral:RNase_P_RNA from 1 species